CACGUAGUUAGCCGGUGCUUCUUUACCCAUUACCGUCACUCACGCUUCGUCACAGGCGAAAGCGGUUUACAACCCGAAGGCCGUCAUCCCGCACGCGGCGUUGCUGCAUCAGGCUUCCGCCCAUUGUGCAAUAUUCCCCACUGCUGCCUCCCGUAGGAGUCUGGGCCGUAUCUCAGUCCCAAUCGUGGCCGGUCACCCUCUCAGGCCGGCUACCCGUCAAACGCCUUGGUAAGCCACUACCCCACCAACAAGCUGAUAAGCCGCGAGUCCAUCCCCAACCGCCGAAACUUUCCAACCCCCACCAUGCAGCAGGAGCUCCUAUCCGGUAUUACGCCCCAGUUUCCUGAAGUUAUCCCAAAGUCAAAGGGCAGGUUACUACACGUGUUACUCACCCGUUCGCCACUCGAGCCACCCCACAAAACGCAGGGCCUUUCCGUCGACUUGCAUGCGUUAAGCACGCC
rnacentral:rRNA from 1 species